GACACUAUAGAUCAGCGGGUAGAUCGCCUGCCACUUGUUAUUUGUUCUUUGAAUAAUUUUCAGGGGCGGGAGGCCGUGGGUUCGAAUCCCCGUAGUGGUA